GACGAACGCUGGCGGCGUGCUUAACACAUGCAAGUCGAACGGAAAGGCCCUGCUUUUGUGGGGUGCUCGAGUGGCGAACGGGUGAGUAACACGUGAGUAACCUGCCCUUGACUUUGGGAUAACUUCAGGAAACUGGGGCUAAUACCGGAUAGGAGCUCCUGCUGCAUGGUGGGGGUUGGAAAGUUUCGGCGGUUGGGGAUGGACUCGCGGCUUAUCAGCUUGUUGGUGGGGUAGUGGCUUACCAAGGCUUUGACGGGUAGCCGGCCUGAGAGGGUGACCGGCAACAUUGGGACUGAGAUACGGCCAAGACUCCUACGGGAGGCAGCAGUGGGGAAUAUUGAAAAAUGGGCGGAAGCCUGAUGCAGCAACGCCGCGUGCGGGAUGACGGCCUUCGGGUUGUAAACCGCUUUCGCCUGUGACGAAGCGUGAGUGACGGUAAUGGGUAAAGAAGCACCGGCUAACUACGUG
rnacentral:rRNA from 1 species